CAACUACUCCCUCUGUCCCAAAUUUCUUGUCUUAGAUUUGUCUAGAUACGGAUGUAUCUAAUACUNUUAGAUUUGUCUAGAUACAGAUGUAUCUAAUACUAAAAUGUGACUUGAUACAUCCGUAUCUAGACAAAUCUAAGACAAGAAUUUUGGGACGGAGGGAGUACUUU
rnacentral:pre_miRNA from 1 species